AUUGAACGCUGGCGGCAGGCCUAACACAUGCAAGUCGAACGAGUGGCGGACGGGUGAGUAAUGUCUGGGAAACUGCCCGAUGGAGGGGGAUAACUACUGGAAACGGUAGCUAAUACCGCAUACCAUCGGAUGUGCCCAGAUGGGAUUAGCUAGUAGGUGGGGUAACGGCUCACCUAGGCGACGAUCCCUAGCUGGUCUGAGAGGAUGACCAGCAACACUGAACCUGAGCCACGGUCCAGACUCCUACGUGAGGCAGCAGUGGGCAAUAUGGCACAAUGGGGGCAAGCCUGAUGCAGCCAUGCCGGGUGUAUGAAGAGGGCCUUCGGGUUGUAAAGUACUUUCAGCGAGGGGGCGUUACUCGCAGAAGAAGCACCGGCUAACUCCGUGCGAGCGGCCGCGGUAAUU
rnacentral:rRNA from 1 species